rnacentral:rRNA from 1 species
UACGUAGGGUGCGAGCGUUGUCCGGAAUUACUGGGCGUAAAGAGCUCGUAGGUGGUUUGUCGCGUUGUUCGUGAAAACUCACAGCUUUACUGUGGGCGUGCGGGCGAUACGGGCAGACUAGAGUACUGCAGGGGAGACUGGAAUUCCUGGUGUAGCGGUGGAAUGCGCAGAUAUCAGGAGGAACACCGGUGGCGAAGGCGGGUCUCUGGGCAGUAACUGACGCUGAGGAGCGAAAGCGUGGGGAGCGAACAGG